AAGAAAGGCAGUGAUAGUAUUUUAGGCACUUAGGAAAUGCAUUUUCUCCUUUUUUUUUCUCCAUGGGAGUAGAGUUCACCAUACUAAGCCUCUCCUUUCACCUCCUCAAUCUAUGGCUAAGGCCCGUUCCUUCCAGUGGACGUUCUUCCUUCCAAAAAUUCAGCAAGCUCCGCUAAGACUCCCCGGCUCUCAGAAGCCGGUUCAAAAAGUCAGAGCUGAGACUCCACACAGAGGCCAAGCCCAGCACUGCAGGCCCUUUGGAAGAAACAGGGUCAGCCCGAAGAAAGAACUUCACCACUGCCACCCCCUCCCCAAAGCCCCGAAACAAAACCUUGCAAUGGAAAAUUACCAGGAAUGUCCAAACAAAGCAAGAUGGGGGAAAGCUCCGGCCCAGACUGGCGGGAUCUCGGCGGCCAGGGAGCCCCGGCGUGGUGUUCUUUAAAACCAGUGACGGAGCAGACCGUUAAAGAAGGGAAAUCAAGUCUGGGCAGGUGGACUCGCGGGGCAGCAGAUGGGCCCAGGUCCAAUUCAAUGGCUACACCUUGGCAGCAGUUCCUUCUCCAGGCCAUAAGUGAUCUCUUCCUGUCCCAGUCUCUCAUAACAGAUGAGGAAAAUGAGGAAUAAAGAAGCAAAAUGAUUUUCUGAAGAUUUUCAAGUUCAGAAGCAUUUCAUGGAAGCUUGGGAAAAUAUAAGCCAUAUUAAAGUGCUUUAUACAGUGGUGUACAAACUUAGGUAUCUUAUAAUCUGAUAAGGUGGUACAAGCUUAAAAUUAUGAAAAAUUUAUGAAGGAUCUGGGUACAGUUUUAGAUUUAGAUUUAGAGGUAGAGAUCAAUUUUGAGGUUAGCUAGUCCAACCUUCUCAUCUCAUUUGACAUGUCAGGAAAUGGAGGCCCAGAAAUAUCCAAUGGACUUGUUCUGGUCACAAAUGUGUAAGCAGAAGACAUACUGAUUCUCUGCCCUCUAACUCCCAAUCUAGGAUUCUUUUGCUCUUCUUUAGAGGCCUGUGCAUCCAUGCUUUGUGUGUGGGCAAAUUUAGGGAAAUCUGGGCCUGGUCCAAGGCCAGACUUAUUUGACUUUGGACUUUAAAUCAUCUGUUCAAUUCAGUUCAGUUCUUACUGAAUACCUAAAAUGUGGCAAACCAAGACAUUGGAUUAGAAAAGCAAUUUAUAACAUUAUCCUUUUUCCACAGGAAUCUAAUCUUUAUAUGAGGAGACAAUAUGGAAAAAGGGAAAGAACACUGAACUUGGUAUAUAAGAUUUGAUUCAGGAAUCCUUAAUCUGGAAUCUGUGAACUUUAUUUUUAAGAGAAAGGAGGGAGGCAGGGAGAGAGGGAAGGAGGAAGGGAAACAGAGACAGAGAAAGAGACAGAGAAAGGGCAGGGAGAGGGAGAGACAGAAAGAGAAAGACAGACAGAGACAGAGACAAACAAACAGAGAGGAAGAGAGAGACAGGAAGGGGAGAGAGACAGAGAUGCAGGCACAGACAGACAGAGGGACAGAGACAGAGACAGAGACAGAGACAAAUAAACAGAGAGGAAGAGAGAGACAGGGAGGGGAGAGAGACAGAUACAGGCACAGACAGACAGACAGGACAGAGAGAGAGAGAGAGAGAGACAGAGGGAGACAGAGACAGAGACAGAGAGACAGAGAAACAGAGAGACAGAAAGAGACAGAGAGAUAGGGAGACAGAGAGAGAAAGAGGGAGAGAGAGAAAAAGAAAGACAGACAGAGACAGAGAGGAAGAAAGGGAGAGACAGACAAAGAAAUGGAAGGAGAGGGAAGGAAGAAGACAAUACAGAUUUCAAUAUAAAUGAUUUUCUUUGUAAUCCUCUGUCUGCCUCAGUUUUCUCAUCUAUAAUUAUGAAGGUAAUAAUAGCACCUACCUUUUAGGAUUUUUGUGAAAAUAAAAUAAAAUCAUAUUUGUAGAAAAAUUUGUAAAUCUUAAAGUAUUGUAUGCAGCUAGACAAUGCAAUGGAU